rnacentral:rRNA from 1 species
UACGAAGGGUGCAAGCGUUUGUCCGGAUUUAUUGGGUUUAAAGGGUGCGUAGGCGGCCCUGUAAGUCAGUGCUGAAAUAUCCCGGCUUAACCGGGAGGGUGGCAUUGAUACUGCAGGGCUUGAGUACAGAUGAAGUAGGCGGAAUUGACGGUGUAGCGGUGAAAUGCAUAGAUAUCGUCAAGAACACCGAUAGCGAAGGCAGCUUACUAAGCUGUAACUGACGCUGAGGCACGAAAGUGUGGGGAUCAAACAGG